ACCCACAAGGCUACAUGAUCACUCAUUAGUCACGUUCCACCAACUGCCAGUUUGGAUCAUGUUAUAGUUUCUCUUUUCCUUUUCUGGUGAGAAUACAACGCUAUAGUUAGCAGUUAACACUGUUGAAAAUUUAUGGAGCUUUGACAAAGUUUGUUUAGGCUUUACUAUGAGAGUCAGGUUAUAGUUGACUCGUAUCGCAAAAGAAAAUUUGACUCAAAAGGUUAUAAUAUUUGAGUGUAUAUUUCAUGGGCCCAUACACGUGCUGUAAGCCUGUAACUUUCAGUAUUUCCCUACUAUCGCCAACAGAUUAUGGCGGUCCAUCUCACGACCUCAAAUCCCC
rnacentral:lncRNA from 1 species